GACACGAUCAUGCCAGGAUACCUAUACCUACCCACACUGUCAUGCCCCGCGACCAACCGCCAAUUUGGACCGGGUCGCGGCGCCAACGACAGACCGCCGAACGAACCGGGGUUUCCCCUAUACGCGGACAGAGUCUCCCCUGUACAUUCUAGGCGUCGCAAUCCAAACAAUGUACAUUACAAUUGUUCCAACCAGGAACAGAUAUUCAAUCAUAGAUUGCAAAUGGAAAGUAUCACAACAUAACACAUCCUAUGUUAUUACAUACAUUCACAUUAGAUUCAUUUAUUUACAUCGCACCUUAUAUAUUACAUUCAACUUCCAAAUACAAUCUAAGUUAUUACAUCAUAGGUAUUACAAGGUAAAUACAUUUUAUUCCUUUCAUUUUCUAUACCCCUAA
rnacentral:lncRNA from 1 species